GACGUAGGGCGCGAGCGUUGUCCGGAUUUAUUGGGCGUAAAGAGCUCGUAGGCGGCUUGUCGCGUCGACUGUGAAAACCCGUGGCUCAACUGCGGGCCUGCAGUCGAUACGGGCAGGCUAGAGUUCGGGAGAGGGAUGCGGAAUUCCAGGUGUAGCGGUGAAAUGCGUAGAUAUCUGGAGGAACACCGGUGGCGAAGGCGGCAUCCUGGACCGAUACUGACGCUGAGGAGCGAAAGCAUGGGGAGCGAACAGG
rnacentral:rRNA from 1 species